rnacentral:rRNA from 1 species
UACGGGGGGAGCAAGCGUUGUUCGGAUUUACUGGGCGUAAAGGGCGCGUAGGCGGUCAGCACAAGUCAGUUGUGAAAUCUCCGGGCUUAACUCGGAAAGGUCAACUGAUACUGUGCGACUAGAGUGCGGAAGGGGCAACUGGAAUUCUCGGUGUAGCGGUGAAAUGCGUAGAUAUCGAGAGGAACACCUGCGGCGAAGGCGGGUUGCUGGGCCGGUACUGACGCUGAGACGCGAAAGCGUGGGGAGCGAACAGG